rnacentral:rRNA from 1 species
GACGAACGCUGGCGGCGUGCCUAAUACAUGCAAGUUGAGCGCUGAAGGUUGGUACUUGUACCAACUGGAUGAGCAGCGAACGGGUGAGUAACGCGUGGGGAAUCUGCCUUUGAGCGGGGGACAACAUUUGGAAACGAAUGCUAAUACCGCAUAAAAACUUUAAACACAAGUUUUAAGUUUGAAAGAUGCAAUUGCAUCACUCAAAGAUGAUCCCGCGUUGUAUUAGCUAGUUGGUGAGGUAAAGGCUCACCAAGGCGAUGAUACAUAGCCGACCUGAGAGGGUGAUCGGCAUAGUUGGGACUGAGACACGGCCCAACCUCCUACGGGAGGCAGCAGUCGGGAAUCUUCGGCAAUGGACGAAAGUCUGAACGAGCAACGCCGCGUGAGUGAAGAAGGUUUUCGGAUCGUAAAACUGUGUUGGUAGAGAAGAACGUUGGUGAGAGUGGAAAGCUCAUCAAGUGACGGUAACUACCCAGAAAGGGACGGCUAACUACGUG